UCUACAUGGCCGGGAUCUAUGAUGACGUAGAGGUGCAAACAGGAAGUAAGAACAGCACGCUUCAUGUUUCCUCCACACGUUUCAGCUGCUAUCGUCAGUGUUCCUCUUCAUACAUGCUGAUUGCGUCAUAGAGGCUGUUGUUAUCUGAGCGUUUCCAUGAUGGCGGAGCGGCUGAACUU